rnacentral:rRNA from 1 species
AUUGAACGCUGGCGGCAGGCCUAACACAUGCAAGUCGAGCGGUAGAGAGGUGCUUGCAUCUCUUGAGAGCGGCGGACGGGUGAGUAAUGCCUAGGAAUCUGCCUAGUGGUGGGGGAUAACGUUCGGAAACGGACGCUAAUACCGCAUACGUCCUACGGGAGAAAGCGGGGGAUCUUCGGACCUCGCGCCAUUAGAUGAGCCUAGGUCGGAUUAGCUAGUUGGUGAGGUAAUGGCUCACCAAGGCGACGAUCCGUAACUGGUCUGAGAGGAUGAUCAGUCACACUGGAACUGAGACACGGUCCAGACUCCUACGGGAGGCAGCAGUGGGGAAUAUUGGACAAUGGGCGAAAGCCUGAUCCAGCAAUGCCGCGUGAGUGAUGAAGCCUUAGGGUUGUAAGACUCUUUACCUUGAGAUGAUAAUG